rnacentral:tRNA from 1 species
GGCACCGUGGUGUAGUUGAUUAACACGUCGGCGUACAUUACCGAAAAUGCUGGUUCGACUCCAGACGGUACCU